GGGUUAUCCACAACCCUGAACCGGGUCCAUCAAGACCCUCCCCAAGAUCCGGAUAACCAGAGACGAAGGGUUGGACUUAUUCCCUAGCAUUGGUAUGCGCGAAAUACCGCUUCCAACGCAUUGAAAAGGUCCUUCGACCGUUGGGCAGUGGGAAGUCUGAAGAUUCUCAUUCAUGGCCAUUAAUCAUGCUUCGUUACCCUCUAUAGUUUCAAACCUUAAAGUUUUCUUUGCACAGAACCAACACCAAACGAAACUCACUACCAAAGAAUAUCCAAAAUCAACACACCAAACCCAUGAUAUAUUCUGUUCAGGAUCUCAACUUAACAUAAUCAAAAUGGAGCAAGCAAGAUGAACAUCAAAUCAACCAGACUAGAAGAGAAAUUUCAGAUCUAAACAAUCAUGGUUAUUAAGCUAAUAUGAAGCAUAUGAGCAAAGAUUUGAAGAGGAAAAGAACAAACUGAACCUUAACGGAAAACACACGUUUCCGGCGAGCGUGAGGGACGGAACCUGAUCUUGUGGCUUAGCUCGGAUUACUCAAAGUUCUAAGGAUAAACUUUGAGCACCCAUUUGGUACCUUUGAGCUUUGGUGCGGUUUGUGAUAGGAUUUCGGCAGGAAUAACGGUACCGCAAAAAUCUCCUCCUCUUGCAAUGAUUGGUGGCCUUUAUUUAUAGAGUCUUCUCCUCGGAUCCUCAAAUCAUGAGCUGUCAAUAUCUAUCCAAAAUCAUUCCGUUAGGAGAGAAUUUUCUCAGAGAUUUGGUGGGGACCAGGGCGAUUGUCACAGGUAAAUUUCUCUUUGUCUGUAGUGUAGCCUUCCAGUCUUCUAGAAACUGUGGUCCCUCAUUUGAUGCAGGUGGCAAGGUGAGAUCGUUUUGUUGGUAAGAUCCCCUAUUUUAUGUUGAAUCUUUUAUUAAGCUCUUACUGUUGUGACUCUUAUUUUUGUUGCGGUAAGAAACUUAUUUUCACUGUCAUGUACAUUCAAACUUUUAAAUGACGUUCAAUUCAAAAAGACUCUAUUAUGCUGUCAUGUGUUUUUCAGCUCACAUUUUCAAUCUGUGCUUGCCGUAGGUAUACAGGGCAACAGGAUAUCCGCUCAAUUUCGAUUUGGUUUGGAAAAGUUAUGUUGUGAAUCCGGGGUCUACAUUGCUCUGAUGUCUUGGAUUUGGAGGUGAAACAGAAAGACUUGCAUGCUUUGGCUUGCGUUUUGGACUUUUGGAGAUGAGAGUGUGAGCAUUAUUGUUUUAAUGCAGAGUGGCCUUUGUUGACUGAUAUAUCAGGGCGGUUUUGGUGCUGUUAUGCUGACAUAAGUUGGCGGGUAACUUCAAGUUCCACGAUUUCACUUCUGUUUUGAAAGUAGGAGCAGCGACUGGUUUUGAAAGUGCAUCAUCUACCUUCUCCGCAGGAGGUUUCGGCAUUGAUAACAAGCUUGGACUGAUAGCAUGUUUGGAUCAUGCAUAAGUUCCCUAAUUGUGUGUGUUCCUGAGUCCGUUUGAAUCAAUUGGAGAAAUCAUGAACGCAUUUAUUUGUAUGUAAGCAUGCCUUUGCUGGCUUUGAAUUUCAACUUGGUAUUUGUCAUGGUCUAACCCUUCAAAACCAACUGUAGGGCAUGCUGUUGGCUUUUGGACUCUGUAGAUUGCAUCAUGCUGUUAGAAGGUACCCUGCAGGCUUUAGAAUGAACUUGUAACAGUCUGUAGAAAUAAGUGCUGGGAAAAACCGGGCAAGCAUCAUGGCAAAGGGAUAUGUACUUUCCAAUUUUAAGCUUAUUCCUGUCGUUUUGACUUGAUUGUAAUGUAAUCUUAGAUCAUAAGGUUGGGACUUGCGUGAACCAUGAAG